UCAGCGAAGGGCGUGCUCAUCACCACAUCAGCAAAGCAAAAGUUCAUCAUA
rnacentral:snRNA from 1 species